UUUUUUCUUUUGGUUUAUGACAAUUAUUCUUUUGCUGGCUUUAGUAAAUAUUUCAUUGGUAUUCUAUCUCAUUCCAGCGCUUUUCGCCCGGUGGGUUCUCUGCCUAGGCCGCUGGCGCAUGUGUGCAGCAAUUGCCCGAACACAAUUUUUCCGCCACGGAUCCGAACUUGGACGUUUUGGUCAUAUAUAGCCUGCCUUAAUGAUUGCCAGAUGAUGGACCGAACCCUGGAGCAGUCGCAACCACGACAGGGGACAGAUGAUUCCAAUUUUCCUCCCUAUCAAACUACGCUGGCCAUUUACUCCCGACAAGACUUUACGUUGAACCUCACAGAUGUGGUUUCUUCCUGAGGGCGCUUUAAUUGAUAACAAAGGGACAUAGAUAACAUUGCUGAGUUGUACCCAAUUAACCUCUUAAAUGUAUAAGAACACUCACUUUAUAAGUUUUCGCCCACAAUUUAAUAAAAAAAAACACACACACAGAGGCACAAAGUUCAGCUUCAAUAUAUGUCAUUCCAAACACCACAAUUGAUUGUAACCGUUUUUCUAUGUUCCGGACAGCAAAAAAAAACACAAUGCUACCACAGAGCUGCGAGGGCUGGAUAUGAAACAAUGGCCGUCUUUUCUCCUACCGUUCCUUUUUAUAGCCUCAGACGACUCUAUUUUCCCGCGCAUUUUCAUAGCUUUCCAUUAUAGUCAUUGUUAUUAGGCAUCUUCUUAUUAGUUCCUAAUUCUAUUUUCCUAAUGACAUUCACUAAUGCUCAGUGCUGCUCAAUAACGUAUAAACGCCUUUCAUUUAGGCCAGCCCACCAAUCUUCGCCUUGACAGGCGCCAAUGCGCAAGCAGCCAAUGCGCAAGCAUUACAUUUGAGAUUACAACUCAUCGUAGUAUUUCCUGUCACAUCAUAUCAUUCUGACUCAAGCAUCAACACAUCCAUCACCCUCCUUAACACAAGCCACGCCACUUUACAGCUCGUGGUCGCAAAACAAAAAAAACUUCGCACCUUUUCUCUCCCCGGGACUAGGAAAGCUUCAAGGGCUGGAGUGCAAUCCUCGUGUCGUAGACAUACCCAGCACAAAGAGUUCCCACAUUCAUCUGUGACAUACAUUGGUCAGAGGAUGACGCAAAAAAAAACAAAAAUAGUACAGCAAUAAUUGCCCCGUAAUAGCAUUACAAAUAUAGUGCGGAUUGUUAUUGGCACCCGAGUUUGACUUGAGGUACAUACAUUAUCAUGACCUUUUUCCCUAUUGUCCCUGGUCAUAGCGACAUAAACGAUCUUCCAAUCGAGAGGUCACCCUAUCAAUAUUGACGAGGCAUUUCGGAAUCUACUUUGUCCGCCGCAACAAUUUGUGC